rnacentral:rRNA from 1 species
AUGUUACCAAGUUCCCGGAGAAGCCUCCAGUCCCGCCUCCAUCAUCGGCUCCCCCUGCGGCGGCCUUCCUGCCGGUGCCUGGCAGGUAUGGAUCCGUUGCGCCUGGCUCUGGCGCUGACCCUGGCCCUUUCUUCUUCAUCCCGGCGCCGCCCCAUGGUUACUACACCAGCGCCAACCCCGGCGGCACCUCCUACUACGCCGUCCCGCACAACAACGGCAAUGCCAACGGGAACGGCACCGCACCGGCCCCUGCCCUGUCGAGCACUCAGGGGUCAGGGCUACCCGCAGGUGGCGUACGACAGCAACGGCCGCGCCGUCUACUACACCGGCCUGCUCCCACAGUACCCGUCGGCCGUCAAUGGAGGCGGCAUGUCGACGUCCGCAGCGGUGCUCGGGACGGAGCCCUCGAAGCCGGUGGCGGUGAAGACGACCGUCUCGUGA